AGACUCAAGUUCAGUUAAGGGAAGGCCAAGGCUUUUGAAAAUUUCUACAAGCCUUCCCUUAACUUGAUGUAACUUUUUAAAAUUUUAAACUUUUUAGACUUUUUAAUUAGCUUUCAAAAAGUCUUCCCUUAACUCAAGUUGAUUUAACUUUUUAACUUGUAACAUUUUUAACUUUUUAAACUUUUAACUUAAAAUGCUCACUUUCUAAAUUUUUAACUCUUGUAACAUUUUUAACUUUUUAAACUUUUAACUUAAAAUGUUUCACUUUCGAAAUUUUUAACUUUGGAAACUUUUACAUUUUUUAAACUAUCUUAGACGAGUUAAGGGGAGACUUUUUAACGUUUUACAUGUUUUUAUUUCGGAUUUUACAAGCACAUUUUAAAGAUGAGUUCUAGAAAGGCCUUUUAAACAUUUUUUUUUAAUUGUUUUUCACAUUAAUUACUUCAUUUUUUUAUGUAUUAUAUUUUUUCUACGUCAUAAUUGUGAGGCGAGAACAGAAAACAGACGAGGUAAGUUUCUCAUCAUUAGACAUGUUUUAUCUUUCUUUCAAAAGACACUAAAUGCUGCUAUUUCACUCUUCUGUAUUUUAACAGUUUAUUUUAUGUGGCGAAAGCACCUCAUCCACAGUCCACUGACCAAAUACAUCCUCUCUUCGGCCAUGUACCAGUCAAAUGCCGCCUUAAGUCCAGGAAAAGUUUUCUGAAAAGUGUCCCACCCCUCAGUGAAAGAGUCACUCGGCGGGAAGAAAGACUUGACAAUCUUCCACCAGAAACUACAAUGGAGCUUAAGACAAGCGAGGCAAUGACCCCAGGAGCAGAUACCAACUAUGCAACGUGGAAAUGCCUAAAUAGACUAAGAUCUGGUGUUGGACGUGCACAAGUCACUCUCGCCAAAGAGGAGGAUCGGAACAGCGAGUGUGACUGUGGCACUGAACCACAGACCAUGCAACACCUCCUCAUGUGCCCCUGCUGGAACAUCCCUGCACAGCAUCGAAUUUAGCAGAGUUUAACGAGAAGGGACAGAAAUGUGUUCAGCUGUGGCUCAACCACAUCUAGCCAAGCCUGUAACUAACUGCCUUGUAGCCACGAUAAGAAGAAGCUCAUCCCAGAAUCGAGGCCAGAGACAGGAGCUCGGCCACUCUGGGAAUCAACCUUGAUGAGAACCCACCUAACAGACCAAACAGAACUACUUUACAGGCUUUCUUGUUGUCACAGAGGGCAACAGUUGCAUCAUUGCAUGCAUUUCAAGAAGAACACAAACUCCCAAACACACAGGACUUCUCCUGAUUCUUCUCGAGAGUCACGCACUUCAAGAAGAAUUGUACAAGGGACGCCUGCAUCAUGGAACACAAACUCCCAAACACACAUGACUUCUCCUGCUUCAUCUUAUGUUCCUGGGUCUCGCCUGUGGUUCUACAUGCAUCCAGUCAUGCAGACAGAGAACACCUUAGCCUUUAACUGUCGGAAGCUGUCCCUCUGCGAGGCCUCAUAGUAUAGUCUGUUUUCUGUUCUCAUUCAUUCAUUCAUUCAUUCAUUCAUUCAUUUAUUUAUUUAUUUAUUUAUUUAUUUAUUUAUUUAUUUAUUGGCCUUUCUAUAUUUCUUUGCCUUCAAUUUUGUUUAUUAAGUUUUGUGUUUCCAAUAUGUGCAUGUUCAUUUCAUCACAUACAAGUCCAGUCCAAUGUAUACGUUCUUGUUUGUCAUUUUGUAUGUUCAGUAUUUAUUGAGUCAGUUAAACAUUUUAUCUAUUUUUUUAUUAUUUAUAAGAUUUCACGCAUUAUAUAUUCGAUUCUGUCCAAAACAACUAAUAUCAUACUGUAUUUUGGUUCCAAAAAGAACCAUGCAACUGUUUUUUUUCUUCUUGUUUAGAAGGAAAAGUGUAUGUUGACAACUUAUGUUGUGAUUUGUCGUAUAAAAGAACCUGUUCUGAAUGACAUUAUUCAUAAUUUACAUUUAUUUAAUUAUUUCUUUAAUAGAAAAUAGGUCUUUUCUGUGUUGAUAUGAAACUGUAAUUAAAUACUUAUUUUUGAUUUUAA